rnacentral:lncRNA from 1 species
AUGAAGUCAAGUAACUUUGCCUUAAUGACACCAGAGGUCCACACAGGAGUAGAGGAUGUACUUCAGCUGAAUUUUUGUAAUGAAAUGGAUGGGAAAAGCCAGGUGCCAAAAAGAAGGAUUUGGCAGUUUGGAGGUGAAUACUCUGGUGCAUUGGGUGCUUAGGAGCAGUGGGACCUGGAGUUAAGUACCUGCUCUGUGAGGUAGAAUCAAGAAUCCUGUUGAGCACUUGGCCUUGGAGCGAAAUGAGAAAUAAAAUAAAGAUACCUCAAAAUGUGAUAUAAAAC